rnacentral:rRNA from 1 species
AUGCUGAUUUCCAAUGCAUUCAUUCUUGGAUACAUGACACUCAACUUACCUAACCUCCUGUUGUUGUUGUACGAACAGUGGUGCUUUCAGCGCGUCACUCCAGCUCGUCGGUUCACGGAUCAUGUUAUGAUGGUGGCCUUGGCCAGAGCGCUUGAGAUACCCCUCAGAGUGGAGCGAGUCCGAGGAGGAUAUGAUCCAGAUAUCCACACUGUCCCUGGAGUUCCCCGUCCGAGAGUGACCCUGCUGUACUCGGCAAAUCACUACGAAAUCAUCUACCCGCGUGCUCCUCCAGCUGAGAGUUCGAGUCAUCAGGCUUCCCAGAUAGAACAUGCUGUUGAUGGGGGUUCAAGCCAACAGACUUCCCAGAGAGAACAUUCUGGUGAUGAGAGUUCAAGCGAAUAG